AGCAGUAGCCACGGUAAUACGUAGGUGGCAAGCGUUGUCCGGAAUUAUUGGGCGUAAAGGGCUCGCAGGCGGUUUCUUAAGUCUGAUGUGAAAGCCCCCGGCUCAACCGGGGAGGGUCAUUGGAAACUGGGAAACUUGAGUGCAGAAGAGGAGAGUGGAAUUCCACGUGUAGCGGUGAAAUGCGUAGAGAUGUGGAGGAACACCAGUGGCGAAGGCGACUCUCUGGUCUGUAACUGACGCUGAGGAGCGAAAGCGUGGGGAGCGAACGGGAUUAGAUACCCCUGUAGUCCCUGUCUCUUAUAC
rnacentral:rRNA from 1 species